AGUCAUAUGCUUGUCUCAAAGAUUAAGCCAUGCAUGUCUAAGUAUAAACAACUUUAUACUGUGAAACUGCGAACGGCUCAUUAUAUCAGCAAUAAUUUAUUUGAUGGUACCUUACUACAUGGAUAACUGUGGUAAUUCUACAGCUAAUACAUGCAUCAAAACCCAACUUCGCAGAAGGGUUGUGUUUAUUAGAUACAGAACCAACCCAGGCUCCGCCUGGUUUCCUGGUGACUCAUAAUAACUAUAUGAAUCGUAUGGCAUCUGCCGACGAUGCAUCAUUCAAGUUUCUGACCUAUCAGCUUCCGACGGUAGGGUAUUGGCCUACCGUGGCAAUGAUGGG
rnacentral:rRNA from 1 species